AACGAACGCUGGCGGCAUGCCUAACACAUGCAAGUCGAACGAAGCCUUCGGGCUUAGUGGCGCACGGGUGCGUAACACGUGGGAAUCUGCCCUUCGGUUCGGAAUAACAGUUAGAAAUGACUGCUAAUACCGGAUGAUGACGAAAGUCCAAAGAUUUAUCGCCGAAGGAUGAGCCCGCGUAGGAUUAGGUAGUUGGUAGGGUAAUGGCCUACCAAGCCGACGAUCCUUAGCUGGUCUGAGAGGAUGAUCAGCCACACUGGGACUGAGACACGGCCCAGACUCCUACGGGAGGCAGCAGUGGGGAAUAUUGGACAAUGGACGAAAGCCUGGUCCAGCAAUGCCGCGUGAGUGAUGAAGGCCUUAGGGUUGUAAAGCUCUUUUACCAGGGAUGAUAAUGACAGUACCUGGAGAAUAAGCUCCGGCUAACUCCGUG
rnacentral:rRNA from 1 species